ACCCUGUCACCGUGCGUGUGAAGAAAACUCGUCGAGAGCGAGGGGGGAUGUUGUGGCGUUGAGAGGAAGUUUUGACAUGUUGUUGUUGUGAGGGCUCCAUGGUGAGCGCAAUCAGCUCACGGAAACUUUGAGCGUGGGUGAGAAGUUUGGCUGGAAUUCUAGUGCAGGAGGAGACACAGAUGCUCUCUGACUGCUGAGAUAGCAGCCGACCUCAGCUCCGCACUCUCUCACGAAACACUCACGGAUGACGUGUCCGACAAAAUCCUCUCCCAACAAACUCCAGAGGCAGUCUGUGACCCGGUUUAAAUAGAUGGCAUCAUCUGGAGACUGAUCGGCAGCUCUUAUCUUUAGUUGGCCGCGACCCUGUGCUGCUUCUGUGUGAUGGGCCUCAUCCUUAACGCUGUGUGUUCGUAUGCAGCCGGGAACAAACACUCAGCACCACUGCCUGCCUUUACAACAGACUGGACACCUUCCAAUAACUCAGCCGCUCAAAUCUCCACUUAGUUAUGACAGCCUGUCAUGUGAUGUCAGAUUGUAAAAAUUGCUUAAAUGGUUUAAUGACAAGUGAGGAGCUGCACUAUGUCUAUCUCGUCUCUCGCUGUCUGUCCCUGCCUUCAUCACCCCAUCUCUCAUUCUGCUCCUUUUCUCGCUUUGUCUCUCUUUCUCUCUCAAUUUCAUCUGGUUCGUUUUGACCUGAUUUCGCUGAUUAAGUGUAGCGAGUGCGUGGAGGGUCGCUGUUACAGUUUUGAGUUAGAAUGGGAAUUUAACGAUUCCGAUUUCAUUUAAUUUCUUUACUUUAUUUUAGUACUUGGAAGACAUGCUUCUC